rnacentral:rRNA from 1 species
CCUACGGGAUGCAGCAGUGGGGAAUAUUGCACAAUGGGGGGAAGCCUGAACCAGCCAAGUAGCGUUCAGGAUGACGGCCCUACGGGUUGUAAACUGCUUUUAUACGGGAAUAACGCGCCUUACGUGUAGGGCUUUGCAUGUACCGUAUGAAUAAGGACCGGCUAAUUCCGUGCCAGCAGCCGCGGUAAUACGGAAGGUCCGGGCGUUAUCCGUCUUUAUUGGGUUUAAAGGGAGCGUAGGCCGCAUGUCAAGCGUGCUGUGAAAGGUCCGGGCUAAACCCGGGCCUUGCAGCGCGAACUGGCGUGCUUGAGUCCGCGGAAAGCAGGCGGAAUUCGUCGUGUAGCGGUGAAAUGCUUAGAUAUGACGAAGAACCCCGAUUGCGAAGGCAGCUUGCUGCAGCGGAACUGACGCUGAUGCUCGAAAGCGCGGGUAUCGAACAGGAUUAGAUACCCGAGUAGUC